GCCUGCCUGCCCUUGUUCUGCCCGUGAUUGCGCUGAUUUGUAUCACCUGUUUGUGCUCCCACCCUGCUCGUUUGUCUGUGUAUAUCUGUGUUGUCAUUUUUGUUUCUUUACUUGCAUUUGUUCAACGUUUGGAUUAUCUUGGGCUUUGGGGAGUCCUUAAUUGUCAUUUGGCCUGCUUUUCCUUUUGAACUGCCACUACCAGACACACUGACUGCUGAUGGUCCAGACAGAAGAGUUCGAGCUUCUCGGAGUGUAGAGAGCCUCAGACUCGAGUGAAGAAAGAAGGCCGGUUCUAAUUCACCAAACUGUGCUUGACCCUUUGAUGAUCUUCUCUUACAAAUUGUAAACUCCAGUAUUUGUUACACUUUCCACCAUCUUUACAGACAGACUCUACAGAAGCUUUUGCUACCUGACAGAACAAUAGGGUCUAUGUCAUGGCAUAAAGUAAAUUGGUUAAGCCCCCCUGUUUACAUUCAAUAAUAGUUACUUCACCUUGAAUUGUGUUUUUAAUAAAAAUAAAACUCAGUGUUUGGAGUUGUAGCAGGU